UAAAAACAAAAAUGGAUACGAGCCAAUGAGCUGCAGCAUCGGACGCUAGCUGGUAGCUAGCAGGGGCUAACAGCUGUGAAGAGGCUAACACAGGACAGAGCAGCUGUAUAAUGGAAGUGGGUGACAGCCACGUCUGAAGUCAAGAGAUGAAAGACAUCAUUUACAAGACGACAACAGCAGCAGAGUAGCCAUGCGGUUGGAAGAGACAUCCUGUAAGCCUCACGGGACGGUAAACGUCCAACAUCCGAUCCUCAUGCUCCCGGUGUCCUCCCUGCAGAAGUGUCCUUUUUAAUAGUGACUCUGAAUCUUCGCUGCUUCCACGAGCGGCUGCCCCUGCCGUCUGACCUUCCCGCCGGGGGAGGCAGGCAGUCGCACAACAGCUCCGGGAAUCGAUAGAGAAUUAGAAAGUUCACAAGUCAUACAGCUGCCGCUCGUUGAUCACACAGGGAGGACAGCAGUCGAUGUAAUCCGAUGCAAUGCUGAUUAAUGCGACGCAAUGAUGAUCUGCACCGACAGAAUCAUUCUUAUCCCUCCCGAGGACACUCGCUGCUAUUUUUAGAGAAAAGCACAAUAGUUAUCCCACAAAAUGAACAUGUGCUUGUUCAGCUUUGUUGAGAAUCACUGAUUCAGAGACAUCACCGUUGAAGACCUGCUCACCUCGAUGAAUUAACACCAGCUUGGAGGCAUUUCUCUGUGUCCAGUAUGUUAUAUAAUUCAUGUGUCCACUGUGUUGUAAUGGAGUUAUAUAAUUCAUGGGAGGGCUCCCACUGUAAAGGCUAUCAAUUUUAUAUCCCAAUAGCUUACAUCCAUGUUAGUGGCUCUAGUGUGGCCGUACCAUAGACUGAAUAGAAAGAAAGAUGACAUAAUGGCCCCACUAAACUUAAGCCAAAGUGUUUUGAUAUCCCUGUGGUGG